GUGGUCGUUGGCGUAUCAAAACAGCCCUAGUAGGCCCAUUGCAAAACCUGGAACUGACUUGACAAUGUGGACCUGGCUUAAAACAGUAGCCAACAAAAGCACUCCCCUAAAGCACAAACAUAGGAAGGCUGAAAAUACUUCAGCAACUAGGCUCUCGUGUAACGCAGCGUUUCUCGCUCAGGUAAGUAUCUCUUCUCUCGCUCUUGACACUCCAAGACCACCAGCCUCGUUCCACCACCACAAACAACCAGGAUACACCGGGCAACAUUGUUGUACCUAGUUGGUUGGGCUAAUGAACACGAACGAUGUAUCUUGAGUGUUAAUGACCGAGUGUUAAGAUGCUUUUUGAGUGGUUAAGGAGAAGCCAAUCAAGUCAUGGAGGAAGAGGGUUUUGAUGCCGCAUAACUGCCCAGCUCCGAACACACAUUCUUUCAGGGAGUCCCUCUUACUUCACUCUUAUUGUUAGUUGCAUUGAGGGGAAUGCAACAUUUUAGUUGGGGGUGGCUCAUUUAUUUGUGAUGUUAUAUGGUGGUUGACGGAUUUGGUAGAUUGACUCUUUGUUUUGAUUUUUUUAUUGUGUUUGUAACAUGUUUAUAUUAGUAUGAUAUGCUAGUUUUUGUUUGUUUGUGUAUGCCCAUAUUUUGUUAUGUAUUAGCAAUAUCCUUGGAUUUUUUUUGCCGUGGUUCUUUUCCCGAAGAUGCUAAUGUCUUUUGAAUCCGGUGUUUUUAGGUAGUUUUGAGUCGGCGUGUCCCUAUGAUAGAUAGUUGGACACUUUCUUAAGGGAAAUAAGCCUUGUAAGUUAGGUGUAGAAGUGAGUAUUAGGUAGUGUAGGAGUGAAAAUGGUGUUGGGAUGUGACUUUUUGCCCCUUGGCUAAUGUUUGGCUUGCUUGGUACCAACUUAUUUUAUAUCUUAGCAUAUGAAUUCUUGAUUUUUGAAAAAAGAAAAAUGAUUAAAGUAAGGAUUCUUGUUGUGACUUUUAGACUCAAUUUUUUGCUCUUACGUUCACUAAUUAGUCUCUUUAGGCUAUGAGUGACUUUUUGAGUUCAUUUGUUUCAAUUGGGUUUUGGUUACAUAUUCUUGGGUUUUCAUGUGCCAGGAAUGAGUUUCAAGCCGAAAUCUUACACUACACUUGGUUUGAAAAAUGAUGUUAGGCCUUUCUUGAACCGGAUUUGUACCAUGACUUGACCAGAUUCAUGGAGUCCGCAACUUAAAUGACCCAAAAAGUAUCCAAAGGUGCCAAAAUACCCCAGAAAAACAAAAAGUGACCGAAGUACCCUUUGCGCGUCAUUUUUGGCAUUGUAAAGUACCCGAAGAUAUGGGCGGUUGUAAACAUUUUCAUUGGGAAGAUAGCAUUCCCGUGGAUAAAACGGUGGCGGCGAAGAUUAAAAAGCCUCCUGUUGAUAGAGAUACCGCAACUUCACGUAUCUGAAAAGAUACCGUAAAGUUUGACUUGCAAUUUAAGCUUAUGGAAGCUAAAAAAGAGAUUGACCUUUUGGAGGUCUUGCUAAAAGAAUCUAAAGAAAAACAAAGUUUUUUUCAAGGCUAACCUUAGAGAAACUCAACACGAGAAAAAUGGUUUGAAAGAAAAACUGAAAUUUUGGAAAAUUAUUUGUGCUAUGUUAUUGUUUUUUAUUGUUUCUAUGUAUUUUGUUUAUUAAAUUUAAUAUUUCUAUGUAUUUUCUAUUUAUUUUGUUAUUGUUAUGUACUUUGUUUUUACUAGUUGCACGUUUUCAUUUAUUAUUUAAUCCUCACCCUU